rnacentral:rRNA from 1 species
CCUACGGGGGGCUGCAGUGGGGAAUAUUGCACAAUGGGCGCAAGCCUGAUGCAGCCAUGCCGCGUGUGUGAAGAAGGCCUUCGGGUUGUAAAGCACUUUCAGCGGGGAGGAAGGCGUUAAGGUUAAUAACCUUGUCGAUUGACGUUACCCGCAGAAGAAGCACCGGCUAACUCCGUGCCAGCAGCCGCGGUAAUACGGAGGGUGCAAGCGUUAAUCGGAAUUACUGGGCGUAAAGCGCACGCAGGCGGUCUGUCAAGUCGGAUGUGAAAUCCCCGGGCUCAACCUGGGAACUGCAUUCGAAACUGGCAGGCUAGAGUCUUGGAGAGGGGGGUAGAAUUCCAGGUGUAGCGGUGAAAUGCGUAGAGAUCUGGAGGAAUACCGGUGGCGAAGGCGGCCCCCUGGACAAAGACUGACGCUCAGGUGCGAAAGCGUGGGGAGCAAACAGGAUUAGAUACCCGGGUAGUC